AGUAGCCUAUGUGCUUGUAGUCUGAGUAACUCAGGAAUUAGAUUGUGUUUACAUCAGCUUUGUCUCUGGCUUAGGCCUUGAGAUUCUCGUUAAACUAGAACUCCUAAUUU
rfam:Brassica oleracea var. oleracea cultivar TO1000 chromosome C9, whole genome shotgun sequence